rnacentral:rRNA from 1 species
ACACGCAUGACACACUGCAUAUCAAUAAGCGGAGGAAAAGAAACUAACAAGGAUUCCCUUAGUAACGGCGAGUGAAGCGGGAAGAGCUCAAAUUUGAAAUCUUCAAGGUUUUACCUUGACGAAUUGUAGUUUAAAGAAGUGUUUUCUGCUGAAGUUUUGGUAAAAGUUCUUUGGAAUAGGACAUCAUAGAGAGUGAGAAUCCCGUAUUUGACCAUUAUUUUCAGCUGUGUGAUACACUUUCAAAGAGUCGGAUUGUUUGGGAAUGCAGUCCAAAAUGGGUGGUAAAUUUCAUCUAAAGCUAAAUAUUGGCGAGAGACCGAUAGCGAACAAGUACCGUGAGGGAAAGAUGAAAAGAACUUUGAAAAGAGAGUUAAACAGUACGUGAAAUUGUCAAAAGGGAAGCGUUUGACACCAGUGUUGUUUUCUCGAAAAUCAAUUAAAGAGCGGAUUUUGUUGUUGAGUUAAUGACUUUCAUCAGCUUACUGCACUUUCUUUACUACUUUCUUAAUGCACUUUUCGUUAACAAGUCAACAUCAAUUUCUUUUGUUGUAAAAGGGUAUGAGGAAGGUGGCUUUCAUUUCGGUGAAAGUGUUUAUAGCCUUGUGACCUCUGCAAUCGGAGAGAUUGAGGUCUGCAGCGUAGAUCCUUCGGGGUUAGAUACAUUUGUGCUAAGCUAUAGCUUUUCAUAGACAACUUGUUGACUAUAUUUAGUCUUGUGGCUUACUCGCUUAUGCUAUUUUACCUACGCUUAGGAUGUUGAGCGCAUGUCUCUCUCU